UGAAAAGAAAAUAUUUUGUGCGACGGUGGUUAGCUCUUAGAAGAGCUGUUUAUGAGUAGCCGUCCAGACUGAGGUGACAGCGCAGAAGAUCCACGGGGCUCUGGCUGUAGUCUGGCUGACUGCUGAUGUAGUUGGAGCAGGGGCUUGCUUUUUACUCCCUUAGCUUUCAAAGCCUCCAUGAACGCCUCUGGAGUAGGGCAGUCUGUUCUAAGGGUCUUCAAAGUAGCAAUCCCCAGUCCAAGUUCGCCUAGUUUCUUUGCCUGUGCUUUGCUGAUAGUUGGCUUCCCCAAGGCCUUCACAAGGGAAGCCGACUGCUGAUGCACAGCUUUCUGUGUUGACCACAGCUCGAUCUGUCUCUUAGGAGACCGAAUAGGAAGGUUGGUGAGGCAGCUCACUAGCGACGGGUGAGUCAUCACUGCUUCCAUAGCCUGGACGUCGGGAAAGGCCCUGUGAGCACCUAGAUACGAGUUGAGUGUUAUCAUUUUAUUUGCUACAAUUUUGUACGUUACCUUCUACAGCAGUACCCAGGAUGUGCAGGUGGAGCGCUUCCAUACCCAGCCUGGUGCCAUUUAACUCACUCCGGCCAUCUUUCUUCAUCUACAAUCAUUGUACGAUAAGGCUAAUUUCAGUUCUUGAAAAGUAUACCUGACGUAGGAGAGGUAGGGUAUCGCUAAAGUGUAUUUUUUUACUCUCAAAGGCAGACAUACACAGAGUCCCUUGGCGUCGCUCCACUUCAGCCAGUAGAAUUGGGAAAUCAAACAAGAACCCAUUGUGAGCUACAAGAACUGGGAAAGUAAAAUACCAUAAUAAUUUGUGUUACAUGGGUAUUUUAUUUGUCUUACCAGGAUAGUGAGGAUUCGUGGUCACAUCACUAACGUAUGUGGUGACAGCAGUAACCCAGUCCAGGAACAGAGGGAGGACAACUGACAGCGGCUUCUCACCACGGAGAGUGGUAGUGCUGAUACCAGUUAUCCUGGACCACUCAGCUAACUUGGUGACAUGUACCUCAAGUCGCUCAAGUAUGCGAUGCCACUGCUUAUUGGAACACUGAGGUAGACCCAACCAGCCACUCAUCCGAGCAUACUCAGCGUAUAGAUGACCGUUUAGGAGGAACGACAGCACUGGGUAGUAUUGCUGCCACGAAAAACUGGGUAUGGUGAAAUCUGGCGAAUGAUUAAAGCUCACACAACCACUUGACACAAACAAAGAUAAACUCUCAACAUCAAAAGACAACCCUAUUUGCUCUGCGACUUCAGCCAGCCUUUGGGUUGUGCUCAUUUGUAAAGGAUGUCUUCGUUCAGUGCUCUCUAUCUCUGGCUCUGGCUCUGUCUCCUGUUCUGGCUCUGGUUGUGGUUCUUGUUCUGGCUCUCUCUGCGCUACAGGGUUGUCCUGCGUACUUGAAGACGUACACGUACACUGAGAGUGUGUGAUCGGUUCUACAAAGAAAAAAUUAUCUCAGUCUGCACUGAAUACCUGUAUUUAUUUAUACCUGUACCUAAACAUUGUAUUUUCCUGGCUUCUGUUGCAGCUUUGAGCUGUAGAAUUCUCUUUCUGCUGGGCAAUUUGGGCAUCCUACUAUAGCUAUCCAAACAAUUUGUAACACUGUGCUAUCUGUCUAGACUCUAUAGCAACUGUAACUUAAUUAAUGCGCGGCUCAUGCUAAUAGUAAAUUAUUGCACGCUAAUAUUGGCGCAUCAAUGAAUAUUAUUAUGUAAACGACAUUCCUGUGGUUUUGUUACAUCAAUUUGUUGCUAUGUCCCAGCACCCUUAACCCUUUCCCCGCCACUCUAGUGGUAAUUUUCAAAAAUUCGCUGUGCAUGCUGUGUUGGAGCUAUGCGCACGCUGUAGGUACCAGCACAUGCGCAUUGAGCUGCUGCCUCGAGGUACGCUUCGUACAAGAAAAGUGACAGUUUCAAGAUCUUCGUAGUAAAACCUCAGUGAGGUUCUAGAGCAGCUAGACAGUGAGAAUAUCGAUGCUUAUGGAAGCUACCUCAAGCUAAAGAAUAUACCUUGCGAUGGAUAAACUAUUUGGAUCUGGUAAGGCUUCAGUAUAACUGUAUUUAGGUUGAACUUGUAAACGAACUUGUAAACCUGUGUGUAGGUGAAGAAAACAUUUCCCGGGAAAAGGGCGUCUGCCUCACAGAUAACUUUAUGCAGAUCCUGAUUGAAAUGAACUUAUUUAGUGUCUUUAGCCACUUUGUGCCUUGUGCCCUCAUACAAUAUUAUUUGUGUACAUUUGUGAAUGUUACAUAAUGAAUGUUUGCAAAUUUUAAUAAUUUAUUGUAUUGACUUUUUUAUUCGAGUAUGCCUCAGAAAGAAAGUUCUGCGAAAAACCAUUCUACAAAUACUCAGUUCUGAAUAGCCGCAAAUUUGCGUCAUUAAGGAUCUCUCUACUUCGGUGUAGAAGCGAUAUGGGGCUUGUUACCUAUCUCUUAAACUCUAUCUAUUAAACUCGCAUACUCACCAAGGAGCAAGUAUACUGGCUCGAUAAGAACUGUAGCCUGUUGGUCAGUGUGCAUUAAUUGAGAUGCCUUGCUGUAAAUGCAAUAGGACAGGCGGAUGCGCUUGUGUAAAAGCUGGAAGAUCCUGCACAAGUUGCCUACCUACCAAGAUAGGAACAUGUCUCAACCAUACUUUGAAGUUUGCAGCCCAGAAUGAGAUGAUCCCAACACCCCCAGCCCCUUAGCCAACAACAACUGUGGACCAUAAUCUGAACGAGCCAGAAGUAAAAGCAUUGCCUCCAUGCAUUGCCUCCAUACAUACACACCAAUUUCAGAACCAAACUUUGGAUGGGGUAGUGAAGAUGGCAAGACAAUCACAAGCACCCUAAAUAGAAUAUAUGACAAGAUUGUCCACUGGAGAAGAAACCUUUUUAAAGUACCAUCUGGGAAACACGGAAAGUCAUUCGUUCGUGAACUGACACGAAUGUUUAAUGGGUACGGGGGUACGGGGAAGGAUCAGCACUUGAAAUCAUAGCCGCAAUGACAAUGCCUACCCUUCUCCUACAGAAAGAAACCCAGCUCCAAAUCCAAGCGACGCCUGAAACUCUGGACGGAGGGAGAGCCAUCCUAAUCCAUAACCAAUCGUCACGGCACAACAGAGAAGAUCAAACUGCCAGAAUAUUCGCCAAGCUAAUGAUGGAGCUAAUGAUGGAGGGAAAAGUGCGUGCAGCCCUAAGACUCAUUACCCAAUCAGGCAGUACAGGCCCACUCCCUCUAGACAGCCUAGCCAAUCACAAUGAUCCUGCAAGUCCUAGUCGAGAAGCACCCCCUAAAGCAACCACCCAAGAUCACGUGCAUCGCUAAGCCCGACAACCCUAUAGAUAAUCCACAUCCCAUAAUUUUUUUUGAAGAAAUUAAUGGUACAAUGAUUAGGAACAUUAUACUAAAAAUGGAUGGGUGCGGUGCGUCUGGUGCGUCUGGUCUGGAUGCUGCUUUCUGGAAAAGUCCCUGGCAGCCAAUGCAAGAAGAAUUAGCACAUCCUAUGUUGACCCAAAGGGUUUGAGUGCGUUUGUUGUCCCAGGGGAGGCUUUCCAUCGAUAUGCUACAAUGAGAUUCGUGAGAUUCGUGAUAUGACUGCAACCCUAAUGAGCGAAGUCUGCCACAACGUGAAAAUAGAACCUGGAUUACAACCUGUAACUGGGGAGCAAUUCGAACACAGGACAGCCAAUCGCGAGGAUGGUGCUCAUUGUCGCACAAAGCUUUUGGGGACAGAGUGCAUUCUUUGAUGUUAGGGUUUUUAACCCAUACGCACCUUGCUACCGCAACUCCACCCAGACCCAAUGCUAUAGAAAAAAUGAGUUAGAGAAGAAGAGAUGUUAUGAAGAGCGCAUUAGAGAGAUAGAACACGGCUCGUUCACCCCACUGGUUCUCUCUGCUGCUGGAGGAGUUGGCCCAGCCGCAACCAUCGUAUACAAGAGGUCACUAAUUUCAGAGAAACAAGUCUACCCUCCCUCCAUUGGGUGAGAUGCAGAUUAAACUUCUCUCUACUAAGAUCGGCUGUAAUGUGCAUACGUGGCUCCCGAUCUACCUUCGCUUUCGAAGUUUCUAUCGACCUGGCCGUCCACGAAGGCCAGGUCCACGAAGGCCAGGUGCAAUCUUUUUAACUCUUUUUAACUCAACCUUUUUUAACUCAACCAUAUAAGAAUAAUUAGAUCUAAACAUAUAUAUAACUUUCCUUUCCUGUAUUGUCACACGUAUUAUUUGACUUCGAGGGAAAAAUAAGCUGUUAACCGCGGAUGACGCAUAUUUGCGUCAACCGCACAUUACUCUACUCUCAGAUCUAUGUGUGCGUGCGUGCGUAUCACUACUGUAAUCACUACUGUAAGUGCCUGCUGUAUGUGCCUGCUGUACGGUUGCAAUGUAGGUCACUUGUGGAUUUCAACUUAAGCUUUGUUUCGAGUUAUGGCUUGUUUUUGUAAAAGCAAUUUGAAGUCUCUAGACUCGCGCGCAUGCGUAGCAAAAUGCAACUACAUGGUAAGUAAUCUGCACUACAGCGCUAGCUACUUUUCGCAGAUGUCUAGUAGCUUAAUAGUCUUCAUACUGUCAUUGUCAUUGUCCAUAUACAUGAAUUUUUAGGGAACAUGGAAAACACAGCUGAGACAGUGGUUCUCCAACAAGCGGAGGGUACCGAAACAUGGUGACCAGGAUCCCACAGCCACACAGCCCCACACAGCCCCCUACGAAGAAAAGAGAUACUCAUCGUGAUGGUGAUGGUGAUGAGGAAUUGAGGGACAUUGAGUAUGUGAAGCUUCUGGACAUUGAACUCAAAAAAGACAAGCCUACCAAAAAGGUAGUGAAAGAUUUAAUGGAAUCCUCGUAUACAGGCAGAAGACGGUGGAUAAAGCAAACGUAUUAUUUUGAAGCCAAGAGAACGCUUUAUUGGAUUCAACAACAAAAACCGUUAUGGUGUUUUCCUAGGCCCUGUCACAUUUGUUGUAAGCUACCUAGCAGCUAUUAAAGGCCUUAAGGUUAUGGGUAUAUUGCUCAUGAAUAAUUCAUAAGAUAUUUAUUUUCUUUAUUUCAUUAAUUUUUUUGUAACUAGCAAUGAAACUAGUAAUGAUUACUCUGCGCAGUUAAGGCCUGGGUCAGGCACUGAUAAGAUUAAUUUUAUUCAUUGCCAACAUUUUAUGUAGAUCAUGUAGAUCAUGUAGUGUUAAUGAGAUUCAUAAUGUUUAUUAAUGUUAUUCAUUGCAUGUGACUUCAUUGCAUGUGACGUCAUAAGGUCAAUAUAUUUGCUUAGCUAGCUGCUAAAACUAUUAUAGAUUAUCUUUGGCAACAAAUACGGCGGACUUAAACAAGGUAAGAGUAGCUGUUUAGGCCCUCAAAAGAUAGAGUAUGUUGUUAUGAUUAUGUUUCCUUGAUGGGAAGUAAAAUUGUCCAAAACUUUCUUAGCUAUGCUAGCUUCUUUAGCUCUGACAGCCACCCUAGAGGUAGGUGUAUCUCAAGAAUGCAAUAACUCCUACUCUUCCCAUCAAGGAUACUAGUACCUAGCUAUGAGAUGUUCAUCUAGCCUUGUUUUUGAAGCUUGAUCUUGGCAUCUUCUCUUUCUGAAAGUGGCAUGACGUCAUCAUUCUUUAUGAGACUAAUUAGCAUAAUUGAAUUAAGCUAAUUAGUUUUUUGGAAAAAGAAAACAUGGAUCAUUUUGAUGCAGCAUACACUGUAUAUUGCAAAUAAUACAGCAGUAUGAACAUAGUGUAAAUUUUGGUAUUGAAAUCUGGACCCGGGCCUUAAGUGCGCAGAGUAAAGAUAAAACAAUGCUAGCAGCUAAAAGUAUCUAUGAAAAUCCAAUGAAGUGGUCUGAGGUCAG